CAGGCGAACACACGGGCGCACACACACGCACAAAAGUACACCGGCCCUGGGCGUCCGCCUUCUGGAAAGUUGCCGAGACCGGCCACUAUGCCCCUACCAGCCGCGUCCCCACCCAGCCCUGAGGCCACUCUCAGUGCCCCGCCGGGGCGCCCCCGCGCUUCCUCUAACAUCAACGCCAGAGACUGGAGAGGCCGCACGCGCCGGGCGUUCCAGCCCAGGAAGGUGUGGCCGAGAAGGACAGAGCCUCUUACCGGGUCUUGUACUUCCUCCGGACACGGCCGAACACCCGGAGGCUGCCAGUGCGGCCGAUACCCUCCCCCCGCCCUCCCCCACCACGUAGCCCUCUCUACCUUCAGUCGGGAAUCAAUGGUGUGGUCGCAGAUUGGUGACAUCAUUGGCGCGCCGGGCGUGGGAGGAAGAACCACGUGAUUCUACCCUCUUUUGUUUGCGCUCUAGGAAAUCAAGGCUCAUAAAGUGAUAUAAGGAGUAUUCCCUCUUUGUGUAUCCUCUGGAAGAAUUUUAAUAAGAUUGGAGUGAUUCUCCUUUCAAGCAUCAGUAGAAUUCACCAAUAAAACUGUCUGGAACUGGGUUUAGUGGCUCACACCUAUAAUCUCAACUACUUGACAGGCUCAAGCAGAAGGAUCACUUGAAGCAAGGAAUUCAAGACUAGCCUGAGCAACAUAACAAGACUCCAUCUCCAAAAAACAAAAACCAAGCAAAACAAAACAGAACAGAACAGCAAAACCAUCUGGGCUAGGUAUUUUCCUUGUGUGAAGAUUGUAAAAUACGACUUUGAUUUAUUUAAUAGUUAUGAAACUAUUCAAGUAUUUUCUUUCUCUUUGAGUCAGUUUAAUAAAAUAAUAGGUUCUAGAAUUUUUUCCAUGUCAUCUAAGGGUUUAAGCUUAUUGGCAUAGUUAUUGAUUGUAUUCUUAAUCUCUGCUGUAUUUAUAACUCUUUUCACUUAUAAUAUUACUUGUGGUAGACUGUGUUAUUGCUCUCCAAAUAUUUGCUUCUUUUUUUGUAAGAGGACUAUGCAUGUCUACCUAAUGCUAUGUGACUUGAGGUGACUCUUGUGACAGGAGAAUUAAUACCCAACCAGCUGUGAAUUGGCUUGAUCAUCAUAUAUGAACAGAAACUUUAAAAGGUAUCAUACCUGUUUCUAUCAGCUUUCUUGCUCUUUUCUCUCUUCCAUGAGAAUGGCAUGUGCUUGAUUGGGGACCCCAGAAUGAAGAAUACAUGUAGAGGAGAGCCCAGCAGAGUCAACAUAUAUAGCAAAUAAGAAAUAAACACAGAGACUUGGGAUUUUGUAGUUACCAAAGCAUAUUAUAGUGAAAACUGACUGAUAAAUUAUUUGCCUAUGACUUCUUAUCAUUUUUUUCUUAAAUAAAUCAUUGCAGAGGUUUA